rnacentral:rRNA from 1 species
AGUGAACGCUGGCGGUAGGCCUAACACAUGCAAGUCGAACGGCAGCACAGUAAGAGCUUGCUCUUACGGGUGGCGAGUGGCGGACGGGUGGGGAAUACAUCGGAAUCUACUUUUUCGUGGGGGAUAACGUAGGGAAACUUACGCUAAUACCGCAUACGACCUACGGGUGAAAGCAGGGGAUCUUCGGACCUUGCGCGAUUGAAUGAGCCGAUGUCGGAUUAGCUAGUUGGCGGGGUAAAGGCCCACCGAGGCGACGAUCCGUAGCUGGUCUGAGAGGAUGAUCAGCCACACUGGAACUGAGACACGGUCCAGACUCCUACGGGAGGCAGCAGUGGGGAAUAUUGGACAAUGGGCGCAAGCCUGAUCCAGCCAUACCGCGUGGGUGAAGAAGGCCUUCGGGUUGUAAAGCCCUUUUGUUGGGAAAGAAAAGCAGCAGGUUAAUACCCCGCUGUUCUGACGGUACCCAAAGAAUAAGCACCGGCUAACUUCGUG